rnacentral:lncRNA from 1 species
CGCUUGCCACCAUAUAAAUCCGCCCCUGAUAAAGAGGUUGUUUCCAAUAGACCCUCAUCUCAAGAAAAUGAAAAGCAACAAUAGAAACUAAAGUAAUAGGUUUAAGGAUGGAAUUUGUAUAUAAACUUUGCCCAAGAGUAUAACUAGUUUAGCUGCAUGGGACACCUUCAUGCGCGGUAAAGAACUCGACUCAGCUUCUAUUUUGCCCAAGAAUCAAACAUUUAGUAUUAUAUAAGCUUUCUGUCAAACCAACUUGUAUUUCAGCUCCAAUUAUAUGAGUAGUAAAACAACUCCAACCAGCUUCUGUAUUAGCUCCCAAUUGUAUGAGAAGUAAAGAUCUCGAACCAGCUUCUGUGUUAGCUCCAAUUGUAUGAGUGGUAAAGAAGUUCAAAUUGUUAGCUUUUCCCCAUCUAUUUUGCUUAAUAAACCACUCUAUAAGUCACAACUUUCUUUGACAUUACUACUUGAAUAGACAGAAAGGCAAAAUUUGUCUAUUUUUUUAACUUCUGGUCUCUGGAUGCGAAAUAUGUUUAGGUCUUCUGCUCUUUAACCUUCUUUCUUCAGUAUAAUUUUCUUUACGAAUAAAUUUUGAUUUCAAUAACACACAAGCAACUUAAACUUGCUGUAAAAUAUGAAGAAAAUAGUUUACAUAUGAUACUAACUAAGCAUAAAAUUAUCAUGUGUACCUAGCCUUUCUGUUUUCCAUUUUAACUUUGUUAUUUUCAUGCUUUUCUAGAGACUAUAUAUCUAACAAAACUUCUGAUUGAUCGGUUUUUUAAAUUUGUAUCACUAGAUUUUGUUCGGUUUAACCUUAAAAGUUUAGAGGCCUGUAACAAACAUGUGAAUACAUUAAAUUCUUAACAUCACAUGAUGUUUUAGCCUUACGAAGUCCAUUAUCAUAUGCCACAGGACCAGUAGUGCCUAUUACUUUAGGAAACAUAUCCAACAAAGACGUUAAAAAAGUAGUACUUUCAGCUCAAAUUAGAGUCCGUAGUUAGGGGAUAAUUAGUCUAUUUCAAUUAAACUCUAAAUGCUACAACAACAAUCCAAUGAGUUUUCAUAAGUGGGGUUUGGGAGAGUAAAGCGUACACAGACCUUAUCCUACCGUAGAGAGUAAAGAUAUUAUUUUUGAAAGAUCGUCGGUUCAAAAAGACGAAAUGAAAAAUUGAACUCUAAAUGCAUAUACGUAAAAAAGCUUAAUUUUAAUAAACAAUCUUUUGUCAAGUCUAUUUGAAGACAAGAGGGGUUGCUCUGAUGUUAAGCAACCCCCACUUCCAACGGAAAGGUUGUGAGUUCGAGUAUUCCGAAGAGCAAGGUGGGAAGGAUGUCGGGGGUGUAUUUGGAAACGGCCUCUCUACCCCAGGGUAAAGGUAAGGUCUGCGUACAUACUACCCUCCCCAGAUCCCACUAUGUGGGAUUAUACUGGGUUGUUGUUGUUGUUAAGUCUAUUUGAUGAACUUCAUGGCUUAUCUCUCACACACACAUAUAAAUUGAUUAUAACUUGAACUAUUACAAAAGUGAGAAAGAGUAGAGGGUUUACAUAUAGGUAGCUUAAUUAACAUCUCAUUCCUCAGAAAUGUCCAAAGGGAGGAGCUUUGGAUCUAGAAAUAGCUGCAAAAGCAUAGGUGAAGUCAUAAGAUAGAGUAAGGAAAGAAUUCAAGAAUUAAUCAAACAGUUAGAAAGUAAAUAAUCUGGUGAAAUAUAGAGAGAAAAAUAUAUAAACAACCAAAUUAUGGUAAAUCAUGAGCAAUAACUUUCACUUUCAGAUCUUACUUAUAACAAAAGGACUCUUCAAUUAUGUAAAUCAUGCAAAUAGAUUUCAAAAUGUUUCAUUUUUAUAGAAUUUUUGCUUUCAUCUUAGAGAAAUUCCAGGAAAUGAGAACCUAUAUACUAGAAUAUCAAAGAAAUAUGUAAUGGGAUGAGAAACAUAUAGAAUUUGACUAUGUACAUAAAAUAUAUAUACAGCAUAUGAAAUAAAUUUCAAGAAAAUAAUAAAAUGAAAAGAUGAAAAUUAAUUUAGUUAAGAGAAGAGAGGUAGUUGGCUGAAGGUGAUGACAGAAGCAUAGAGAGCACAAAUGAAUUGAGAUGCUUUUGCCCCUAAAUUUACUUAGCAUAUCAUCAUUAGUGCUCUCUAUCUUCUGUCAACAAUUAUCACCCUUUUUUGCUCACUUCCUCUAUACUCCUUACCCUAAAUUUACAUUUUCCAGUACCCAUUUAAUUUCUCAGGACCAACAAAAAUAAUUAGGGUUUGGGGUUUUUUUGGUUUGGGGAGUUUUGGGGUUGGGGGGCGGGGGAGGGGGGUUGAAGGAAGACAAUUUUGCUAGGGCUAUGUGAGAAAUAGAUAUUUG